UCCCAGUUCUGAUGUCUUCAAAGAGCACAAUGUAUUUUAAAAUAGAUAAAAGCUGCAUAAAAUACGUUUGUGGCUCUUCAAAUUCACUCAGGCAUUGAUUUGUAUUUUUAUAAAUACAAAUAGGACCAGCUAGAUACAUUUGAUAGAUGAGACUUAUUUCACAACAACCUUUUGUCAGAUAUUUUAUUGGCCUUUCAUACAAACAGUAGUGCACGCAUCAGGCAGCUGCAGUUGGAGACAGGAUGGACUUUUGAACCAAAAGGAGCAGAGGACUGAAUUUCAGAGGUGACAUCCACAGGAUGUUCUGCUGAGAGCUCUUCACGGACACGACUUCUCCGGAUGAGACUCAUGGGAUAAAGUAUUCAAGAAAUUGAACAUAGGACUGGUCAUAGGAGGUUUCCUCCCUUUCAGGGAAUAGCUCCACGACUCUGAACUCUGCAGGGAGGAAGUGCAGAGUUUAAAACAGAAGACAUGGCUGUUCUGACUAUUCUUGCUGUGUCCUCAGGGAAAGAAGUACAAGGAGAACAGGACUGCACUGAAAAAAAGAAGAUAGAACAAAGCCAUGAUUUCCUUCAGUUGCCGCACAUCUACAGGGAAGAGUAAUUUGUGGAAACAUGGAGA